CCUACGGGUGGCUGCAGUGAGGAAUAUUGGUCAAUGGCCGGAAGGCUGAACCAGUCAUGCCGCGUGAAGGUCAGUGCUCUAUGGUCUCUAAACUUCUUUUUUGCGGAAGCAAUAAUGGUCACGUGUGGCCAGACGAGAGUACCGUACGAAUAAGCAUCGGCUAACUCCGUUCCAGCAGCCGCGGUUAUACCGGGGAUGCAAGCGUUAUCCGGGUUUUUUGGGGUUAAAGGGUGCGUAGGCUGUGAGGUAAGUCAGCGGUGAAAUGCCCCCGGUCAACGGGGUGAAGUGACAUUGAUACUGCCUUGCUGGAAUGCGGAUGCCGUGGGAGGAAUGUGUGGUGUAGCGGUGAAAUGCAUAGAUAUCACACAGAACACCGAUUGCGAAGGCAUCUCACGAAUCCGCGAUUGACGCUGAUGCACGAAAGCGUGGGUAUCAAACAGGAUUAGAUACCCGAGUAGUC
rnacentral:rRNA from 1 species